ACGCUGGCGGCAGGCCUAACACAUGCAAGUCGAGCGGAUGAAAGGAGCUUGCUCCUGGAUUCAGCGGCGGACGGGUGAGUAAUGCCUAGGAAUCUGCCUGGUAGUGGGGGACAACGUUUCGAAAGGAACGCUAAUACCGCAUACGUCCUACGGGAGAAAGCAGGGGACCUUCGGGCCUUGCGCUAUCAGAUGAGCCUAGGUCGGAUUAGCUAGUUGGUGAGGUAAUGGCUCACCAAGGCGACGAUCCGUAACUGGUCUGAGAGGAUGAUCAGUCACACUGGAACUGAGACACGGUCCAGACUCCUACGGGAGGCAGCAGUGGGGAAUAUUGGACAAUGGGCGAAAGCCUGAUCCAGCCAUGCCGCGUGUGUGAAGAAGGUCUUCGGAUUGUAAAGCACUUUAAGUUGGGAGGAAGGGCGGUAAAUUAAUACUUUGCUGUUUUGACGUUACCGACAGAAUAAGCACCGGCUAACUCUGUGCCAGCAGCCGCGGUAAUACAGAGGGUGCAAGCGUUAAUCGGAAUUACUGGGCGUAAAGCGCGCGUAGGUGGUUUGUUAAGUUGGAUGUGAAAUCCCCGGGCUCAACCUGGGAACUGCAUCCAAAACUGGCAAGCUAGAGUAUGGUAGAGGGUGGUGGAAUUUCCUGUGUAGCGGUGAAAUGCGUAGAUAUAGGAAGGAACACCAGUGGCGAAGGCGACCACCUGGACUGAUACUGACACUGAGGUGCGAAAGCGUGGGGAGCAAAC
rnacentral:rRNA from 1 species